rfam:Rhodococcus equi ATCC 33707 chromosome, whole genome shotgun sequence.
CGAGCCGACCUGGUCGACUUGUUAGAUCGUCAAUGUCCGAUCGAACCGCAGACAGCGAUGCCUGCGGCCGACUACGGGAGAGACCGCUGAGCGUCACCUU